GACCUGGCUGGGUGGUCUUGCCGCAAGGUAAGCACUGCUCCGAUCGGGUCUUUCCUUCUGGGGAACCAGCGUGCUCUUAAUUGGGUGCGUUGGGGAUCCAGGACUUUUACUUUGAAAAAAUUAGAGUGUUUAAAGCAGGCAAUUUUCGCUUGAAUACAUUAGCAUGGAAUAAUAGAAUAG
rnacentral:rRNA from 1 species